CCUACGGGAGGCAGCAGUGAGGAAUAUUGGUCAAUGGACGAGAGUCUGAACCAGCCAAGUAGCGUGAAGGAUGACUGCCCUAUGGGUUGUAAACUUCUUUUAUAAAGGAAUAAAACGAGGCACGCGUGCCUUUUUGCAUGUACUUUAUGAAUAAGCAUCGGCUAACUCCGUGCCAGCAGCCGCGGUAAUACGGAGGAUGCGAGCGUUAUCCGGAUUUAUUGGGUUUAAAGGGUGCGUAGAUGGGUUGUUAAGUCAGUGGUGAAAGUUUGGGGCUCAACCGUAAAAAUGCAGUUGAAACUGGCAGUCUUGAGUACAGGAGAGGUGGGCGGAAUGCGUGGUGUAGCGGUGAAAUGCUUAGAUAUCACGAAGAACUCCGAUUGCGAAGGCAGUACACUGGACUGCAACUGACACUGAGGCUCGAAAGUGUGGGUAUCAAACAGGAUUAGAUACCCUAGUAGUC
rnacentral:rRNA from 1 species